rnacentral:rRNA from 1 species
AUUGAACGCUGGCGGCAGGCCUAACACAUGCAAGUCGAACGAGUGGCGGACGGGUGAGUAAUGUCUGGGAAACUGCCUGAUGGAGGGGGAUAACUACUGGAAACGGUAGCUAAUACCGCAUACCAUCGGAUGUGCCCAGAGGGGAUUAGCUUGUAGGUGAGGUAACGGCUCAACUAGGCGACGAUCCCUAGCUGGUCUGAGAGGAUGACCAGCCAGACUGGAACUGAGGCACGGUCCAGACUCGUACGGGAGGCAGCAGUGGGGAAUAUUGCAAAAUGGGCGCAAGCCUGAUGCAGCCAGGGCGGGUGUAUGAAGAAGGCUUUCGGGUUGUAAAUUACUUUCAGCGGGGAGGCGUUACCCGCAUAAGAAGCACCGGCUAACUCCGUGCCAGCAGCCGCUGUAAUAC